ACUGUCAUCAAAUAAGAGUUACGACGACAUAUUUUGUACAAAAAAUUGUUGUAUUUUUGCAACGUGGUCGUGACGUGGACAAUAGUAUUAUAUGUCAUGACGUGGCAGUGGUUAUAGAGCGUAGUAGGGACCAGUCAAGGAGUGCAAACCCCCCGGAAACCGAGACAAAGUCCGCCCCGGCAAGUCGCGUAGACCCGUAGAUCGCGCAUUGGGGGCGGUAAAUCGUUCCAGCACCGGGAGGCCGCAAACCUGAACGAUCCACGAAAGGCAGCAGUUCUGUGCGCCGGCGUCUCGAAAACACUAGUACAAGCACGCCUGGGGUACCCUCCAUGCACCUUAGUCCACGCCAAUUUGCCAAAUAGAUAUUGCGGUGUGCCAGUGCUCA
rnacentral:misc_RNA from 1 species